rnacentral:rRNA from 1 species
UUCCUGUACUUGGUGUUACUGCGAAGGGGGGACGGAGAAGGCUAUGUUGGCCGGGCGACGGUUGUCCCGGUUUAAGCGUGUAGGCUGGUUUUCCAGGCAAAUCCGGAAAAUCAAGGCUGAGGCGUGAUGACGAGGCACUACGGUGCUGAAGCGACAAAUGCCCUGCUUCCAGGAAAAGCCUCUAAGCAUCAGGUAACAUCAAAUCGUACCCCAAACCGACACAGGUGGUCAGGUAGAGAAUACCAAGGCGCUUGAGAGAACUCGGGUGAAGGAACUAGGCAAAAUGGUGCCGUAACUUCGGGAGAAGGCACGCUGAUAUGUAGGUGAAGCGACUUGCUCGUGGAGCUGAAAUCAGUCGAAGAUACCAGCUGGCUGCAACUGUUUAUUAAAAACACAGCACUGUGCAAACACGAAAGUGGACGUAUACGGUGUGACGCCUGCCCGGUGCCGGAAGGUUAAUUGAUGGGGUUAGCGGUAACGCGAAGCUCUUGAUCGAAGCCCCGGUAAACGGCGGCCGUAACUAUAACGGUCCUAAGGUAGCGAAAUUCCUUGUCGGGUAAGUUCCGACCUGCACGAAUGGCGUAAUGAUGGCCAGGCUGUCUCCACCCGAGACUCAGUGAAAUUGAACUCGCUGUGAAGAUGCAGUGUACCCGCGGCAAGACGGAAAGACCCCGUGAACCUUUACUAUAGCUUGACACUGAACAUUGAGCCUUGAUGUGUAGGAUAGGUGGGAGGCUUUGAAGUGUGGACGCCAGUCUGCAUGGAGCCGACCUUGAAAUACCACCCUUUAAUGUUUGAUGUUCUAACGUGGGCCCCUUACCGGGGUUGCGGACAGUGUCUGGUGGGUAGUUUGACUGGGGCGGUCUCCUCCUAAAGAGUAACGGAGGAGCACGAAGGUUGGCUAAUCCUGGUCGGACAUCAGGAGGUUAGUGCAAUGGCAUAAGCCAGCUUGACUGCGAGCGUGACGGCGCGAGCAGGUGCGAAAGCAGGUCAUAGUGAUCCGGUGGUUCUGAAUGGAAGGGCCAUCGCUCAACGGAUAAAAGGUACUCCGGGGAUAACAGGCUGAUACCGCCCAAGAGUUCAUAUCGACGGCGGUGUUUGGCACCUCGAUGUCGGCUCAUCACAUCCUGGGGCUGAAGUAGGUCCCAAGGGUAUGGCUGUUCGCCAUUUAAAGUGGUACGCGAGCUGGGUUUAGAACGUCGUGAGACAGUUCGGUCCCUAUCUGCCGUGGGCGCUGGAGAACUGAGGGGGGCUGCUCCUAGUACGAGAGGACCGGAGUGGACGCAUCACUGGUGUUCGGGUUGUCAUGCCAAUGGCACUGCCCGGUAGCUAAAUGCGGAAGAGAUAAGUGCUGAAAGCAUCUAAGCACGAAACUUGCCCCGAGAUGAGUUCUCCCUGACUCCUUGAGAGUCCUGAAGGAACGUUGAAGACGACGACGUUGAUAGGCCGGGUGUGUAAGCGCAGCGAUGCGUUGAGCUAACCGGUACUAAUGAACCGUGAGGCUUAACCUU